rnacentral:rRNA from 1 species
UCGGGAAUAUUGCGCAAUGGAGGAAACUCUGACGCAGUGACGCCGCGUGCAGGAAGAAGGUUUUCGGAUUGUAAACUGCUUUAGACAGGGAAGAAAAAAUGACAGUACCUGUAGAAUAAGCUCCGGCUAACUACGUGCCAGCAGCCGCGGUAAUACGUAGGGAGCAAGCGUUAUCCGGAUUUAUUGGGUGUAAAGGGUGCGUAGACGGGAAAACAAGUUAGUUGUGAAAUCCCUCGGCUUAACUGAGGAACUGCAACUAAAACUAUUUUUCUUGAGUGCUGGAGAGGAAAGUGGAAUUCCUAGUGUAGCGGUGAAAUGCGUAGAUAUUAGGAGGAACACCAGUGGCGAAGGCGACUUUCUGGACAGUAACUGACGUUGAGGCACGAAAGUGUGGGGUAGCAAACAGGAUUAGAUACC